rnacentral:misc_RNA from 1 species
AAAAUACCCAAAAUACAAAAGACUGAUGAGAUGAACUCUGGACUUUAUGCAGAUCUGAUCAACUACGAUCAGAACACUACUGUGGUAGUUGCUGCUGUGGUGACUGCUAAUCUCCAGUACCUUAACUUGUGAGAAUUCUAAGCUUGUAAAACUUCACAAUUUAUCCUUCCUUUUGCUGCCUACAAACUCCCCAAGAGGUAAGGACAAAGUUUAAUGAAGGGACUUUAUAAU